AGACUGGAGUGCAGUGGUCGGCUCACUGCAACCUCUGUCCCCCAGGUUCAAGCGAUUCUUGUGCCUCAAGUAGCUGGGACUACAGGCAUGCGCCACCAUACCUGGAUAAUUUUUGUAUUAUUAAUAGAGACGGGGUUUCACCAUGUUGACCAGGCUGAACUCGAACUCCUGACCUCAAGUGAUCUGCCCGCCUUGGCCUCCCAAAUUGCUGGGAUUACAGACAUGAGCCACCACAUCUGGCCAGCCCCAGUUUUCUCGUUAGGCAAUUAAAGAUGAAGGUUCUAUUUCUCUUGGGGCAAGGUGGGUGGGGUAGAGCUUGGCUUUCAGACCCAUCUCCCCUGCCCAUCCCUACCCCUUGAACAUACUUCCAGGAUCUCUCUCCUUCAAGGCAACCCCAGGGGUUCAAUUCAAACAUUAAGCUAUUACGGGGGCCCCUGGAUGCUGAAUGUGAUUGUCCCAGGGUUCAGCAUGCACCUGGGCACUGCCAGCCCGUUCACUGCAGCCCCACGGAUAGUUGUACACAACAAGCCAGUUUUUUAAGCCUUUCCUAUUUCUUGUCUCAACAGGUGGGCAGCUCAUGUUCUCAUUUUUAAGACAAAGGAAAGCUCCAAGCCUGCAGCCUCAUGGGGUGGACCCCACCUUACAGUAUGAAGCACCAGCAGCACAAUGUAGGUGAUCUCUCCAAGCAGACCCAGCAAGCUGAAGAUGGAGUGCAUGACGGAGAUGUGGUGAAUCCCCAGCACUCGGUUACAACACACCUGUGGACAAGUGUUAUUAUAAGCAGAUUGGCAGGGUUUCAAAGCCAGAGGAGAUAAAAGAAAUUUGUUCCCCUUGCAAAGAUGAAAAUCAGAUUUGCCCUGGUUUUGGUCAAUCGAAGUAUUGAUACGUUUUUCCUUAUUUAUUUUAUUUUAUUUUUUAAUGACCUCCAGUUCCAUCCAUGUUGCUGCAAAUGACAGGAUUUCAUUCUUUUUAUGGCUAAAUAAUAUUCCACUCUGUAUAUAAAACACUUUUUUUUUUUUAAGACAGAGUCUUGUUCUGUCGCCCAGGCUGGAGUGCAGUGGCGCAAUUUCGGCUCACUGCAAGCUCUGUCUCCCAGGUUCAAGUGAUUCUCGCAUCUCAGCCUCCUGAGUAGCUAAGAUGACAGGUGCCCGCCACCACGCCUGGCUAAUUUUUGUACUUUUAGUAGAGAUGGUUUCACCAUGUUGGCCAGGCUGGUCUUGAACUCCUGACCUCAGGCCAUCUGCCCGCCUCGGCCUCCCAAAGCGCGUGAGCCACUGCGCCCAGCCAGUUUUUCCUAAUUUUAGGUUGGAAUGCACUCCCUGAAUAGCCCCUGUUCAUCCAAAUCCAGCCUUCGAAAAUCUACUCCUUUUUCCUCCAUCAAGUCUUCAAACCCAUGAAGAUUUGUUGUCCCUAAAUAUUUCUCUUAGAGAAGCACAUUAUAACCAAUUGGCUAUAAUGAAGUAUUCUGGAACGAUCAGGAUUUGCUGAGUAUUGGAGAAAGAUCCAUCCACUUAGAAGAAGAAUUAAACAAUCAGAAGUGGACACGACCUGGACCAUCAGCCCAGCACUCCCUCUUCUGGGUGCUGCUCCUCUCACAUCAUCCACGUGGUUCCCCGGCAGCAGCCACAUAUGCACGAUGUGCCCACCCCCAGCUGAAGACAACAUUAUCCAAGUUAAACCAAAGAGCCCCUUCUCCAGAGAAUUUGGGAUUGGGGCCAAGAGAUUCCAUCCACCAGGCUGCUUUCUUGAAGCAAAAGACUACACCCCACAAUGUGGGGUGAAAGAGGAGGAAGCAGGUCUAUAGAGUAAGAAUAAAGCAGAUAUUCAGGAAAAGCAAAGAAAGAAGUAAAACAGGGGCUUCUGGGCUCCCCACAACACUCCAGUCCCUGUCCUUGAGUUCUGUGACACCCCUGUAGCCUGGUAACAAAUUCUCCCCAGUGCCCAAGCAAGCUCAAAUGGGUUCUGCCACCUGCUCCCCAGCAUCUUAACAAAUGUGCCACCGAGCCAGGAUGGAUCCCUCGCUAGGCGUUGAAGCCAAUAAGAGAAUGCACCAACACCUGCCUAAUGCAGCUGUGCACUGCACAGUGGCCCAUCAGGUCCCAGCGUCCUGCUGGCCUUCAGCCAAAGCAGAGAGCAUUAGUUGUCUAGUUUCUUACCGGCAGGCACUUGGCUCCCCCGAUGGAGAUCAGCCCAGCCACAAGACCCAGCACCAUGGCAAGCCACGGAGAAGGGAUCAGGUGACACGAGGUACCCACAGCCACGCCUCCUGCCAACACCGCACUGUGCACAUAAGUCUGCAAAGAAAUAGCGUGUGGGUAAAGGAAGCAAGGUAGAGAGAGAACACCAUCUUGCUGCAAGUGACCAGCACGCUGGGAACAAGGCAACCCUGUAACAUCCUCCCUGCUUUGCUGAUCCUGAAACCACCUCUCCCCUGUGUUGGGGCUACGUGUCCUUCAUCAGUGGACACGGUGGGCCAGCUCACUACUGCCUCUUAGGCUCAGGGCACAGUUACCCUGAUUGUGCAGCAUUUAGGGAAUGAGCUGGGAAGUCCAGGUGCUCAGCAUCCUAGGCACCCAUCACACUCAUUAGUGGUGUGUCCCUGGACAGCGGGAAGAAUGGGUUUUUGUUUUAUUUUUUAGAGACAGGGUCUUGCUAUGUUGCCUGGGCUGGUCUUGAACUCCUGGCCUCAACCAAUCCUCUUGCCUCAGCUUUCCAAAAUAUUGGGAUUACAGGUGUGAGCCACUGCACCUGGCCUAGAAGAAUGGGGUUUUGGAUGUACCUUCUUCAUAAGGUUAUUGUAAGGAUUAAAUGAGUUUCCACAUAUAAAGCUCUUAGUCCAGUGUCUGGCAUAGAACAUGAAUAAAUGCCCAAUAGACAUAAAUCAUUGUUAUUGUUUUUAUUAUUAUUAUUGGCUACUUGGUGCCUGUGCCACCCUGUGUGACUGGUCCCAGUUCCAAUAAGCUGGGCCUUGUUCCUGGGUUAUAGCUCUGCUAUGUCCUUCACUACUCCAGAACCGGAGCCUUGCCUUGCUCUUAUCUGAC
rnacentral:lncRNA from 1 species